rnacentral:rRNA from 1 species
UAAUACGGAGGGUGCAAGCGUUAAUCGGAAUUACUAGGCGUAAAGCGCACGCAGGCGGUUUGUUAAGUCAGAUGUGAAAUCCCCGGGCUCAACCUGGGAACUGCAUUUGAAACUGGCAAGCUAGAGUCUCGUAGAGGGGGGUAGAAUUCCAGGUGUAGCGGUGAAAUGCGUAGAGAUCUGGAGGAAUACCGGUGGCGAAGGCGGCCCCCUGGACGAAGACUGACGCUCAGGUGCGAAAGCGUGGGGAGCAAACAGGAUUAGAUACCCUGGUAGUCCACGCUGUAAACGAUGUCGAUUUGGAGGUUGUGCCCUUGAGGCGUGGCUUCCGGAGCUAACGCGUUAAAUCGACCGCCUGGGGAGUACGGCCGCAAGGUUA